GAUUAUGUAUACGCUCAGUGGUUAAGACGUUGGACUACUGAUCGGAAGGUCAUGAGUUCAAUCCCCAGCACCGCCA